AUUGAACGCUGGCGGUAUGCUUAACACAUGCAAGUCGAACGAUGAGAAAGAGCUUGCUCUUUCGAUUAGUGGCGGACGGGUGCGUAACGCGUAGGAAUCUACCUAUUAGUGGGGGACAACUUAGGGAAACUUAAGCUAAUACCGCAUACGCCCUACGGGGGAAAGAAGGGGAUCGCAAGACCUUUUGCUAAUAGAUGAGCCUGCGUAGGAUUAGCUAGUUGGUGGGGUAAAAGCUCACCAAGGCAACGAUCCUUAACUGGUUUGAGAGAAGGAUCAGGCACACUGGAACUGAGACACGGUCCAGACUCCUACGGGAGGCAGCAGUGGGGAAUAUUGGACAAUGGGCGAAAGCCUGAUCCAGCAAUACCGCGUGUGUGAAGAAGGCCUUAGGGUUGUAAAGCACUUUCAAUUGGAAGGAAAACCUCGAAGCUAAUACCUUCGAGUUUGACAUUACCUUUAGAAGAAGCACCGGCUAACUCCGUGCCAGCCGCCGCGGUAA
rnacentral:rRNA from 1 species